rnacentral:rRNA from 1 species
GACCGGCGGCGUGCUAUCAUGCAAGUCGAGCGAAGGAGCAGGAGCUUGCUCCUGUGUUCACCGGCGAACGGGUGAGUAACACGUGGGCAACCUGCCCCGGACACUGGGAUAACCCCUGGAAACGGCGUCUAAUACUGGAUAAUCACCAAGGAUAAAUUUCCUCUUUUGGAAAAUAUUUUUCGGCUGGCACUGGGCUAUGAGCCCGCCGCGUUGUUGGUGAUUGGUGAGGUCACGGCUGACCCAGGCGACAAUGCGUCUGCGACCUGGAACGGUGAUCCGGCACCUGGGAACUGACACACACUCCAAACUCCUACAGGAGGGAGCAAUAUGGAAUCUUGGGCAAUGGCCUGAAGCCUGACCGACCCACGCCGCGUGACCGACUAAGGCCUUCAGACCUCUUUUAUCUGGUGUUAAACAAAAACGACUACGACAGUAACUGCUCGGACCUUGACCGACCCUAACCCAAACGCCACGGUUAACUACGUGCCAGCGUCCUCGGGAAUACUUGGGUGGAAAGAGUUCUCAGGAAUUAUGGCGCGUCUGCUGCGCGCACGCGAGCUCUUACCUCUGAUGUGAAAUGCCACCGCUCAACCUAGAAUGGUCAUUGGAAACUGGGAGAUUUGGGUGCAGGAGAGAAAUGCGCAAUUCCACGUGUAAACAGUUGAAAUGCGUAGAUGAUGUGGAGGAACACCAGUGGCGAAGGCAGAUCUCUGGCCUGUAACUGACGCUGAGGACGCGAAAGCGUGGGGAGCAAACAGGAUUAGAUACCUGGUAGUCACGCCGUAAACGAUGAGUGCUAGGUGUUGGGGCGGUUCCACGGUCAGUGUUGAAGUUAACACAUUAAGCACUCCGCCUGGGGAGGAGUACCGCAAGGUUGAAACUCAAAGGAAUUGACGGGGGGCCGCACAAGCAGUGGAGCAUGUGGUUUAAUUAGAAGCAACGCGAAGAACCUUCUCAGCUCUUGACAUCAUUUGGACGAUAUAUAGAUAGACAUUUCCCCUUCGGGGGAUAAAGUCACAGGUGGCACAGGGUUGUUCUCAGCUCGUGUUGUGAGAUGGUGGGAUAAGUCCCGCAAAGAGCGCACCCCUUUACAUUAGUUCCCCGCAUUCAGUUGGGCACUCUAAGGAGACUGCCGGGGUCAAACCGGAGGAAGGUGGGGAUGACGUCAAAUCAUCAUGCCCCUUAUGUCCUGGGCUACACACAUGCUACAAUGGAUGAUACAAAGGGUUGCGAAGCCGUGAGGCCAAGCCAAUCCCAAAAAGUCAUUCUCAGUUCGGAUUGUAGUCUGCAACUCGCCCUCAUGAAGUCGGAAUUGCUAGUAAUCGCGGAUCAGCAUGGCGGGGUGAAUUCGUUUCCGGGCUUUUUUCCCCCCCCCCCUUCCACCCCGAGAGUUUGUUACCCCCGAAGUCGGUGGGGUUACCCUUUGGGAGGCAGCCGCCGAAGUGAUCAAUUG